AUUGAACGCUGGCGGCAGGCCUAACACAUGCAAGUCGAGCGGAGCGGCGGACGGGUGCGUAUUGCCUAGGACUCGGCCUGUUCGUGGGGGAUAACGUCCGGAACCGGGCGCUAAUCCCGCAUCCUCUCACAUUCGCCUAGGUCGGAUUAGCUAGUUGGUGGGGUAAAGGCCUACACAGGCGACGAUCCGGAACUGGUCUGAGAGGAUGAUCAGUCACACUGGAACUGAGACACGGUCCAGACUCCUACGGGAGGCAGCAGUGGGGAAUAUUGGACAAUGGGCGAAAGCCUGAUCCAGCCAUGCCGCGUGUGUGAAGAAGGUCUUCGGAUUGUAAAGCACUUUAAGUUGGGAGGCGUUACCAACAGAAUAAGCACCGGCUAACUUCGUGCCAGCAGCCGCGGUAAUAC
rnacentral:rRNA from 1 species